rnacentral:rRNA from 1 species
AUUGAACGCUGGCGGCAGGCCUAACACAUGCAAGUCGAACGAGUGGCGGACGGGUGAGUAAUGUCUGGGAAACGGCCUGAUGGAGGGGGAUAACUACUGGAAACGGUAGCUAAUACCGCAUACCAUCGGAUGUGCCUAGAUGGGAUUAGCUUGUGGGGGGGGUAAAGGCUCACCUAGGCGACGAUCCCUAGCUGGUCUGAGAGGAUGACCGGCCACACUGGAACGGAGACACGGUCCAGACUCCUACGGGAGGCAGCAGUGGGGAAUAUUGGACAAUGGGCGAAAGCCGGAUGAAGCCAGGCCGCGGGGAUGAAGAAGGCCUUCGGGUUGUAAAGUACUUUCAGCGGGGAGGCGUUACCCGCAGAAGAAGCACCGGCUAACUCCGUGCCAGCAGCCGCGGUAAUUC